UGAGUCGGUCAAUUUAAACAU
ensembl:piRNA 21ur-7227 ncRNA